rnacentral:misc_RNA from 1 species
GAUGAAGAACGUAGCGAACGUGCGAAACGUAAUGUGAAUUGCAGAAUUCAGUGAAUCAUCGAAUCUUUGAACGCAUCUUGCGCUCCUUGGUAUUCCGAGGAGCAUGCCUGUUUGAGUGUCGUGAAUACUCUCAACUUUAACCCUUUUUUCGGAAAGGGAGGAAGGUUGGACUUGGGUGUUUGUUGAAGUGCGAGCUUCGACUCAUCCUAAAUGCAUUAGCGAUCUGCCUCGAUCACACACAAUGUGAUAAUUAAAACUAAAGCAUUGUUUAAUGAUCAAGUCGAGACUGCUUCUAACUGUCGCAAGACAAUAACGUGCAUACAUUUGUGCAUGUCAUUUGACCUCAAAUCAGGUAGGACUACCCGCUGAACUUAAGCAUAUCAAUAAGCGGAGGA